UUGAUGUAAAUAAAUUUAUUAAUAAUUGUUAUAAAAAAGUUAUUUUCUACUACAAAUUUAUUGCACAACGUCACAAAGAAAAGGGGCAUCCGCGAAAGUGGAUGUGAAUCAGGACACGCAAUCCCAUAAUAGAAUAGGGAGCGUUACACCCUCCAGCAGAUUCAAUAAUUAUAUAGCCUGUAAUACAAUAACAUUCAUGCUGGCCAACUUUGCGGGGAACAUUAGUCUGGGUGCAAAGUGAUGGCACCUACGGUGAAUAGAAAUCAAAUUGACACCAUGUCACAACUUCAUUCCCUGCUUCCUUCCGUUCCGGGAGAGGAUUUUAGUCUUGCACACGUCACUAAAAUGAAUUCAAGCCUCGCAACUCUCGCCAAACUUUUGAAGCAGACUGGCGAUGGUAUUAUCUUGUCAAAUUCUACAUGGAUUGAUAUUGCUCAGAGGAAUUUUCAUAUGGUGGAAGAUUUUCAAUUCUUCUCCCCCGCACACAAAGGAACAAUCCCAAUAUCGGACCGAUACCAAACUUUAGAGUAUUCUACCUGAUCCGUUCCAGCUUUACCUCGUCGGAGGACGGAUUGAGAUAUCUGGCUUACGAGAACCAAGAAUGUUUUAGAGACUACUUUAUUUAAACCAGACAGGAUGGAGAAGCUGAAAUCGACCGAAUAAUGGACUCACGAGCCGUCUGGUUAGACGACUUCUGUUCGAAAUUUCUUCCGGUCCAGAGAAAGCACAGAGAAGGGAGGAAAGCAGCUGUACUUAUUUAUUUACAAAAUGCAUUUCCAUACAAGGGAAAAAAUUCGCUUUUCCAGUUUUUUGUUUCCUAUUACCACACCACCAUUCACAAAAAUUUCUUUCUCCGUCCCACACACCGCAAGCUCUCAACCAAGGAUAUAAUCCUGUUUUCACCAAGAAUUUCACCAAGCAUAACUUUCCCUGAAAUGGGUCUCCAGCGUGAAAUGUGUGCCCAUGUAAGUACGAACCUUGAACAUCAUCACGGUCCAAAAUACCCCAAGGAAAUUACUUAAUUCAUAUUUCUUUUAAUUUAUUCCGUUACAAACAAACCUCAACUCUACACACGGAAAAGUCCAAGGUUUCUCCCGUAGUAAAUACAAUUUACCCUACGCCCGUGUAUAUAGCGAUGAAAAUGAAAACAAACACGGCCAUUUUAAUCAGUUUGUGUUGGUGGUGACGGUAAAAGGUGAACCAUGCAAAUAAGGCAUAUGAAUUGGUGAGCUGCUGCUUUAUUACCUUGCUAAUGCUCUUGGCACGCAGCCUGCCUACUCAACCAGGCGAAGGAUAGACAGGAACUUGCAGCCCAAAAAGUAAAAAUUCAUCAGACCAUGAGGAGGAUGAGUGAGUGAGUGAGAGGUUGCUGCUGUGUGCCAUCACAAACAGAUAAUUUGCAACGGCAACGCAAAUCUCACCCGGGCAGACUUUCACUUAAUAUGCAUACUAAUACGUAUCUGCAGUUAGUUUACUACUACUCCAUGAGCUCUGCUUUCCUUGCUCUGUUAUGCUUUUGUUGUCGAUCAGGGAUAGAAAAUUAAAAUGAAAUUUUGAGCCCUAUGUGGAUCAAAGGGAUUCCAUUAGUUGGCAACCAACCUUCCCUCUCUCUUCCUCUCCGACGUGCAUACACUCGAUUGUUUUGUUCGCAGGGAACUCACAAAUGCAAAGUAUUACCUGGAUUGGCUGGUCUAUCAUCUAAAUUUCUAUUAGAUAUGCUGCUGCCACUCUUUUUGUAAAAUGUGGAAAUUAUUUAUGUCCAACGGGAUAAAAAGAAGGAACGGUCAGGUUUAAAGAAGUGCUUUGAUGGGUGGGGCUGAAAAUAUUUACUGCUUCUUCUCUAAACUAACAUGUUGCAUUUAUGGCAGCAACGUCUUGUAUGAAAUGAUGAGAAUCGGUAAUGAGUAAGGUAUAAAAAAGAGGUAUUAUGUAAGUGUAAUUCCGUAUUGGUUCGUCCAGUAAACAUGAAUAUUUACCUUGAUCAAGUCUUUUUGUACUUUGCUCAUCCAAACCAGUUUCUGAUGUUUUUUUGCCUCAAGAGAAUACACGAAAAAACUUUUCGCUUAUUCUUGGAAAAGCUGUCUGUCUGUUGACGACGUAGAAAAUUUUAUCCAGUAUUUUUAAGCAGAUGUCAAGAAAAAUCCGUUUUGAAAAUGUGGAUCUUCCGACUCGUCAUAGUUUUAAUAUUCGUGUGCACCUUCGUCUUGUACAAUUGUUCAGGACAGCACUUCCCUGCAAGUAAACCAGGCUUGACUUGGAAUCAGCGGACGAAUUAUACUACAAAUAUAUCCGGGUAUCUGGCCAGUAUUCCUGAAAAUAAUUGUCCUGCAGGGAUGAUUUAUUCCAGGGUUUCUCAGAAAUGUGUGCGAUCCCAAUUGUCCGUCUCUAAAGGAGUAGGACGACGAUGAGAGAUUAAAAUAUAAAAUAAUCUACCUACAAUAUACAUUCACAGAUGAGGUUAAAUUUUGCAAUAUUUUAUAUAUUUUAAGUAUUGUAAUAAUUUUAAAAAUUCGUGAUAAGUGUAAUUUCUUAUCGGUGAGUAAUUGAAGCUGUUACGAGAGCAUUUUCCAGUAAAAUAAAUUUAUCACACAAAUA